rnacentral:rRNA from 1 species
GAUGAACGCUGGCGGCGUGCCUAAUACAUGCAAGUCGAGCGAACGGACGAGAAGCUUGCUCCUCUGAUGUUAGCGGCGGACGGGUGAGUAACACGUGGAUAACCUACCUAUAAGACUGGGAUAACUUCGGGAAACCGUAGCUAAUACCGGAUAAUAUUUUGAACCGCAUGGUUCAAAAGUGAAAGACGGUCUUGCUGUCACUUAUAGAUGGAUCCGCGCCGCAUUAGCUAGUUGGUAAGGUAACGGCUUACCAAGGCAACGAUGCGUAGCCGACCUGAGAGGGUGAUCGGCCACACUGGAACUGAGACACGGUCCAGACUCCUACGGGAGGCAGCAGUAGGGAAUCUUCCGCAAUGGGCGAAAGCCUGACGGAGCAACGCCGCGUGAGUGAUGAAGGUCUUCGGAUCGUAAAACUCUGUUAUUAGGGAAGAACAAAUGUGUAAGUAACUGUGCACGUCUUGACGGUACCUAAUCAGAAAGCCACGGCUAACUACGUG